rnacentral:rRNA from 1 species
UACGUAGGGUGCAAGCGUUAAUCGGAAUUACUGGGCGUAAAGCGUGCGCAGGCGGCUAUGCAAGACAGAUGUGAAAUCCCCGGGCUCAACCUGGGAACUGCAUUUGUGACUGCAUAGCUAGAGUACGGUAGAGGGGGAUGGAAUUCCGCGUGUAGCAGUGAAAUGCGUAGAUAUGCGGAGGAACACCGAUGGCGAAGGCAAUCCCCUGGACCUGUACUGACGCUCAUGCACGAAAGCCGUGGGGA